UGUCGGGCCUGGGGGGCCGUGUCCUCGGCUCGGAGGUCGCGUGAUCGGCCGUUUUGCGCCACGGAAGUGGGCGAGACUGCCGGGUCGUGCUCGAAAGGAGGCCGCAUGGUGGUCCUUUGUCUUCGAAAAAGGGAAGGUCCCGUGCGUUCAAACAGCCGGAAAUGCGAGGAGGCGGGGAAUGGAAUCGGAGCAACGGCCAAUGAGAAGACAGUUCCACUUGAGUGAUGAGCACGCAGGACUUGGCUCAUUCAUAAAAGAUAAUAAGUUUGUAGGUUGAGCCUAAAGUCCAUCAGAUUGGUGAGCCUGACGUGAUUCCGACGUGAUCGACGUAAAACGAAAGGAAAAUCGAAACAACGGACACUGACGUCUGGUGAUGACAACAAGCGGAGCAGCUAAACAAAAAGCUUUCUCUAAAACAGGUUGGAUCGGAAAAGGGGGACCUACAGAGCCAGGCGCCAUCCACCACAGAGUGGGUCCUGCUGAAGGUGAUCAAACGGAAGUGGUCGGAGCCACGGUGGUCAGGACGUUACAAGGUGGUGGAAAGGACAUCUCAUGUGGUUCGACUACAAGGAAAAGGAGACACUUGGUACCAUUGGAGCCAGUGUGCGGCCACAGACCCGCCAACGAGAACUCUACAACAAAUAAGGACAGAAAGAGUAGAAGGGUCUUAAACUAUUAAUUGUUGUAUGACGAAUAUUAUGUUCAUGUUAGUAAUCAGCCCACGUUAUUCUAAGCCGUUAAGCUUGGGAGUUUUCACUAUUUUAUGUAGAAGUGUUAUGAUACUAUUCAUAAGGGGAUCAACCACGAGGGACAAACACACAGACGAGGUAGAGAGUCCCAGGAAUAAGGGAUCAAAAGGACAAGAGAUGGACAAAUGUUAAGUGAGCCGGGUAAACAUUAGACAUGAUAUAAAGUGUGAUACAAUACAUCGAUAUACCCGUUUGACUUAGGUCAGGUAAUUGACUGUGGCCAAAAUACAGGGAACUGGACGGAGUAUGAUAUAUAUCUUUGUAUCUACACUAUCUACUAUGACCCAUGCCCGUCGUGGGAUAAUGUAAUAACGUGGACUGCGGUACAACGGACACCUAAGAAGUCGUCAGCCUCGGAUAAUAGAUGGGAGGUUAGAGACCAUGUGAGCCUGACAAUGAGGCAACUUGAUUACCUCUCAGAGCUAAAAAAAAUCCACUCUUGUUAACCUUGACAAGAUUCAACAUUAAUCCUGGUUCUGAAAAGGUACAGAUUUACUAUGAAUUGAUGACAGAAGCUUUUAUUUUGAAAUAGGGGUUCCCCGCGGUGUACCUCAUGAAUAUAAGUUGGUAAAACCAGGUAACAACAGGAUUUGAGAAUCUCCCAAUCAUUAGUGCUUUAUUCCCAGUUACGCCGAAUAAAAACGUUGAUCGAAUUAAUUAUGUACAUUACAAUGUACUCAGGCUAGCCAAUAGAACUAGAGACGACGUGGCGGAACUCUCUGAACAACUGGCAGGGACCUCAUUGAUGACAGUACAAAAUACAAUGGCCUGAGAUAUGUUGUUGGCGGAAAAGGGGGGAGUGUGCUCUAUGUUUGGAGAUCAAUGUUGUACGUUCAUCCCCAACAAUACAGCACCUGAUGGCUCGGUAGCCAGAUCCCUGGAAGGAUUAAGAACUUUGUCUGAAGACAUGUAUGCACAUUCAGGUAUUGACAACCCUCUAGGAGGCAUUUUCGAUUCCUGGGGAGGGGAAUGGAAAGGGUUUAAUUGUGUCUGUGUUUAUGUCCCUUGUUGGUAUGACCAUUGUGUUCGUGUUGUGUGGAUGUUGUUGUAUCCCCUGUAUCAGAUCUUUGUUGAACAGGGUAAUUAUUACAGCAAUUGAAGGGAAGUCUCCACCGCCCUACCAGAUGUCACAGAUGGAGACGGAAACCAUGGCCCUGGCAAGAGGGGAGGACUAUGCGUCGGAGAGUGAAUGUGAUGCGUAACACUGGUUUGUUGAUUUCAUUGUCAUGAGAUCAAAAGGGGGAGUUGUAAAUAUAUAUAUUAAAAAAUAACUUACCUGGAAAACUAAAUUGUCGGGCCUGGGGGGGGCGUGUCCUCGGCUUGGAGGUCACGUGGUCCUCCAAUAGUCGGGCAUGGGGGCGUGUCCUCGGCUCGGAGGUCGCGUGGUCCUCCAAUAGUCGGGCUUGGGGGCGUGUCCUCGGCUCGGAGGUCACGUGAUCGGCCGUUUUGCGCCACGGAAGUGGGCGAGACUGCCGGGUCGUGCUCGAAAGGAGGCCGCAUGGUGGUCCUUUGUUUUCGAAAAAGGGAAGGUCCCGUGAGGUCAAACAGCCGGAAAUGCGAGGAGGCGGGGAAUGGAAUCGGAGCAACGGCCAAUGAGAAGACAGUUACACUUGAGUGAUGGUAUGAUGUUUUGUAUGGAAUAAAGGAAUGUGUUAGGGAGAGAGAUGGGUCUUUGUCUUUGUGAACUG